ACUUCGUAUUUCCUGUCUUUUUUCCAGGUUUUCUUUAAGUUUCCCAGAUAUUGGACUUCCUGAACAAUAUUUUUUGUGAAUUUUCUACAGUUGCAUAGGUGUAAGGUGAAGGAAAUCCUCUUAGAAUAUUUCCCCUCAUUUUUUUGUUUUUCUAAUGAUAACAUAACUUCUACUCCUUUCUCACCAGCAAUCACAAGAAUUCCAUUUUACAUUCUCCAAACCCAGCUCACCUAAUUAAAAGAAAAAGGUUGGGUAUCUGUGGUAAUACACCCCUGAAUGCUCACGGACACAUUUGUUUGAAUUCUGAGUGGUGGUUUGCUUUCUGUGCUUUAAAGCAAAAAAAUGGAUUCCACCUUUGCAGCUAAUCCAGAAGGCAAAGUGGCGUCAGGAGCCUUGAAAGUUCACAGAACUCC